rnacentral:rRNA from 1 species
UACGUAGGGGGCAAGCGUUGUCCGGAUUUAUUGGGCGUAAAGCGCGUGUAGGCGGCCAGAUAGGUCUGCUGUGAAAACUCGAGGCUCAACCUCGAGCUGUCGGCGGAAACCAUCUGGCUAGAGUCCGGAAGAGGAGAGUGGAAUUCCUGUUGUAGCGGUGAAAUGCGCAGAUAUCAGGAAGAACACCUAUGGCGAAGGCAGCUCUCUGGGACGGUACUGACGCUGAGACGCGAAAGCGUGGGGAGCGAACAGG